rnacentral:lncRNA from 1 species
UGGGUGCGAGAGGGAAACUUAGUUUGGUCUUGUCUCUGUGUAAGGUAGGAUUCUCAUCCCCUUUGGUAUUUUCGAAUUCAGUUCUUGAGAUAUCAAUUACCUUGAUCCUUGAUUCUUAUUUUUGUUCAAUUAUAUGUUUCCUAUGAUUAAUUAUACAGUAGUAUUUGGACUUCGAAUUCACAGACCUGGUUAGAUAUCAGAGUUAGUUAGAAUUUCAUUAUGUUUUGAUUAGAAGUCGUAGUGAUUGCAGCUCUAAAAGAACGGUGUUCUUGAUAUGUUUUUGAGUUGGGUGUCCAAAUCAGAUUUUGGAUCCUUUUGAUUCAUUGUUGGUUGUGUUUAGGAACAUCUUAGAGCUCUGGAAAUGUUGUCUAACUGUUUUUGAAGCUUUAUAAUCUCUUUUACUACUCCAUAAAUCGAAUCAAAGUCUUCAAAUUCGAAAUUUCAUGUUGCUGGAAAUUUUCCAGAAAAGUGCAAAAAACCAUGAUUUCGAACCAACUUUACAACAUCAUAACUUUUAGCUCAGUUCUUUGUUUUCGAUUCCAAAAGUGGUAUUGUAAACUUCAUAUAUCCCUCUAUAUACGUACCAAAUUUCGUUAGUUUUGGGUUACUUUUGGAAUGUGAAAAUCCUUGCCCAAAUCUGUCACUUACACAGCUAUAUCUGUUUUUACUGGUGCAUAUCAGUAGACUUUCGAAAUUCAUAACUAUUUCUAGAAAAAUCAUUUUCAGGUGAUUCAACUUCUAAGAUCUUCAUUAGGAUGUCUAGUUUAUUUCCUUAGAAGACCACGAAGUUAAAUUCUUUAUGGUUUUACCUUGAUUCCAUUGUGAAAGGGACUGGGUCAGGAAACUGUUUUGGUACUAGUUGUGUUAAGAUGGAUUACUUGUGGUUUACUUCGAAUCCUUUGUUUGUUAAAGUGUCCAGACAGUNNNNNNNNNNNNNNNNNNNNUUUGGUCUUGUCUCUGUGUAAGGUAGGAUUCUCAUCCCUUUGGUAUUUUCGAAUUCAGUUCUUGAGAUAUCAAUUACCUUGAUCCUUGAUUCUUAUUUUUGUUCAAUUAUAUGUUUCCUAUGAUUAAUUAUACAGUAGUAUUUGGACUUCGAAUUCACAGACCUGGUUAGAUAUCAGAGUUAGUUAGAAUUUCAUUUUGUUUUGUUUAGAAGUCGUAGUGAUUGCAGCUCUAAAAGAAUGGUGUUCUUGAGAUGUUCUUGAGUUGGGUGUCCAAAUCAGAUUUUGGAUCUUUUUGAUUCAUUGUUGGUUGUGUUUAGGAACAUCUUAGAGCUCUGGAAAUGUUGUCUAACUAUUUUGAAGCUUUAUAAUCUCUUUUACUACUCCAUAAAUCGAAUCAAAGUCUUCAAAUUCGAAAUUUCGUGUUGCUGGAAAUUUUCCAGAAAAGUGCAGAAAACCAUGAUUUCGGACCAACUUUACAACAUCAUAACUUUUAGCUCAGUUCUUUGUUUUCGAUUCCAAAAGUGGUAUUGUAAACUUCAUAUAUCCCUUUAUAUACGUACCAAAUUUCGUUAGUUUUGGGUUACUUUUGGUAUGUGAAAAUUCUUGCCCAAAUCUGUCACUUACACAGCUAUAUCUGUUUUUACUGGUGCAUAUCAGUAGACUUUCGAAAUUCAUAACUAUUUCUAGAAAAAUCAUUUUCAGGUGAAUCAACUUCUAAGAUCUUCAUUAGGAUGUCUAGUUUAUUUCCUUAGAGGACCACGAAGUUAAAAUUCUUUAUGGUUUUACCUAGAUUCCAUUGUGAAAGGGACUGGGUCAGGAAACUGUUUUGGUACUAGUUGUGUUAAGAUGGAUUACUUGUGGUUUACUUCGAAUCCUUUGUUUGUUAAAGUGUCCAGACAGUAAAUUGCUUAAUGUUACGACAUUAAGUUAUAUUUUUUUGGCAAUUGAAAGUUCCUUGUGUUGAGUUGCUUUAAGGUAGUUACUAACUUUGUAUGUACUUUACCAUUUGGUAAGGUUC